CCCCGGACCAGUAAAGCCCGGGGAAUGGGAGACCCAAGAUGGGAACUUCCGGGAAAGAGGGUCGUGGUUGCUGGCUUCUACGGAAGAGGAGCCAGAGGCUCAGCUGGGCAGAAAGCAGGGAUGGGUCCUGCGAAUCUGAGGAAAGUAAAGCCUGAGAGAAGAGGAUUUGAGCCCCAGCUCUCCCAAGUGACUGUGACCAGGUCACCCCCCCAUGCUGCCCAAAUGGAGAACUCCGAGGACACCAGCCCAAGGCAGGGGAGCAAGAGGCUCUGCAGCCCCUUCACUUCUCUCAUUAGGAUCGAGGCCCAGGGCUUUCCAGCCGCUUUGGAAGAGGCAGGAAGUAACCAUGUGACGUUCCUCUUGGGCCUGAUCCUUGUAGGCAGAGUGGUCCCUGCCCUGGUGCUAUAUGGCCUGAUUUGGUAA
rnacentral:lncRNA from 12 species